UAACAGAACAGGGAUAGCCGUCUCUGGCUCGUGCUCUCAUGUCAUCUCAGAGUUCCAGCUUAUCAGAGGCAUGUAGCAGGGAGGCUUAUUCCAGACAUAACUGGGCUCUACCUCCAGCCUCCAGAAGUAAUCCCCAACCUGCAUAUCCUUGGGCAAACCGAAGAAUGAAAGAAGAAGCUAUAAAAUCCCCUUUGAAAGCUUUCAUGAAGCAGAGGAGGAUGGGUCUGAACGACUUUAUUCAGAAGAUUGCCAAUAACUCCUAUGCAUGCAAACACCCUGAAGUUCAGUCCAUCUUGAAAAUUUCCCAACCUCAGGAGCCUGAGCUUAUGAAUGCCAACCCUUCUCCUCCACCAAGUCCUUCUCAGCAAAUCAACCUUGGCCCGUCGUCCAAUCCUCAUGCUAAACCAUCUGACUUUCACUUCUUGAAAGUGAUCGGGAAGGGCAGUUUUGGAAAGGUUCUUCUAGCAAGACACAAGGCAGAAGAAGUGUUCUAUGCAGUCAAAGUUUUACAGAAGAAAGCAAUCCUGAAAAAGAAAGAGGUAUGAGAUGUGCUUGAUGGGCUGGCAUUGGAGGUAGACACUGCUUGAAUAAUCUUAAUCUUGGAAUGUUGGUGCCAAGUUGAAACUUGCCAUUAAAUCUGAAUUGUCAUUUUCCUAGGAGAAGCAUAUUAUGUCGGAGCGGAAUGUUCUGUUGAA
rnacentral:sRNA from 1 species